rnacentral:rRNA from 1 species
CUACGGGUUGCUGCAGUGGGGAAUAUUGGGCAAUGGGCGCAAGCCUGACCCAGCAACGCCGCGUGAGGGAAGAAGGUUUUCGGAUUGUAAACCUCUGUCCUUGGGGACGAAGAAGUGACGGUACCCAAGGAGGAAGCUCCGGCUAACUACGUGCCAGCAGCCGCGGUAAUACGUAGGGAGCAAGCGUUGUCCGGAAUUACUGGGCGUAAAGGGUGCGUAGGCGGCAUAUUAAGUCAGGUGUGAAAUACUCGGGCUCAACCCGGGGGCUGCAUUUGAAACUGAUAUGCUUGAGUGUGAGAGGGGAAAGUGGAAUUCCUAGUGUAGCGGUGGAAUGCGUAGAUAUUAGGAGGAACACCAGUGGCGGAGGCGACUUUCUGGCUCAUAACUGACGCUGAGGCACGAAAGCGUGGGGAGCAAACAGGAUUAGAUACCCGAGUAGUC